UUGACCUCGAAUCAGGUAGGAAUACCCGCUGAACUUAAGCAUAUCAAUAA
rnacentral:rRNA from 8 species